AAGGAUCAUUACAGUAGUCGCCCGGGUUGCCGCAAGGCCUCCCGGGUAACCUACCACCCUUUGUUUAUUACACUUUGUUGCUUUGGCAGGCCUGCCCUCGGGCUGCUGGCUCCGGCCGGCGAGCGUCUGCCAGAGGACCUAAACUCUGUUUGUCUAUACUGUCUGAGUACUAUAUAAUAGUUAAAACUUUCAACAACGGAUCUCUUGGUUCUGGCAUCGAUGAAGAACGCAGCCGAAACACCGAUGUGGGAAGUAAAAGUCGUAACAAG
rnacentral:misc_RNA from 1 species